GACGAACGCUGGCGGCGUGCUUAACACAUGCAAGUCGAACGGAAAGGCCCUGCUUUUGUGGGGUGCUCGAGUGGCGAACGGGUGAGUAACACGUGAGUAACCUGCCCUUGACUUUGGGAUAACUUCAGGAAACUGGGGCUAAUACCGGAUAGGAGCUCCUGCUGCAUGGUGGGGGUUGGAAAGUUUCGGCGGUUGGGGAUGGACUCGCGGCUUAUCAGCUUGUUGGUGGGGUAGUGGCUUACCAAGGCUUUGACGGGUAGCCGGCCUGAGAGGGUGACCGGCCACAUUGGGACUGAGAUCCGGUCCAGACUCCUCCGGGAGGCAGCAGUGGGGAAUGUUGCACAAUGGGCGGAGGCCUGAUGCAGCAACGCCGCGUGCGGGAUGACGGCCUUCGGGUUGUAAACCGCUUUCGCCUGUGACGAAGCGUGAGUGACGGUAAUGGGUAAAGAAGCACCGGCUAACUACGUG
rnacentral:rRNA from 1 species